rnacentral:tRNA from 1 species
GCUUUGAAGAUGCCACGAUGAAGCACCACCUUCCAGGAACA